GAGUGGAGUGGCCUCAACAGAGAGGCCCCUCUUCCUCCCUCAAUUCCAGGGUGUGCCUGAGAGAGAGCUUCUGUGCUUCGCUCCAAAAAAAAGAUGGUGAAAUUGAGGUUCAUUUCAGGAAUUAUGGAACUUGCUGGAAGUCAUGCAGCUACUAAGUGAUAGAGACAUUAGUCUGAGGAGUCUUGUGGCCAUUUUGAAAUGUUAGAGUCCUAGGGAAAGAAAAAUCAUGGAAUUUCCAUAUUCAUGGAAAAACAGGACCUUCUCAGAUGACUAAAAGAAAUCAAAAUUCCAUUCACAAAAGAAAAAAGUUAUGUGAAAUGUCUCUUUAGGAUAAAUUCCCAGAAAUGGAAUUGCUCUGGAUGCCCUGCACUGCUGAUUUGAUACAGAUUGCCAAAUGGCCUGAAGAGUUACUUUUCAAAUUUUAGGUCCCAGAUGUCCAGUUAUGGUGGAGCCCUCCCUACCUUUAAGCUCACUGUGAGCUCCCCAGAUUCUGCAAGAAAGGCCAGGGUAGAGAAAAUAUCCGGCGAAAAACACAACUAACCUGUGCCUGGUUCUGGAAGGUUCUUCAUGCACAUUAUCUUGUGCAAGCCAC